rnacentral:lncRNA from 1 species
ACUCUUUUCCACACAGCGCAGGAAUGAAUGUGUUGUUCCUCUGCAUUUUGUGUCCUUGGAGCCGUAUCUUCGCGGUACCUCCUAGAGCUUCGCCAGCAGAGCACGGUGUCAAACUUCUGAAUUUUUGCCAGUCGGAUGGAGGAGAAAUGGCACCUCAGCCUGGCCUCCCUCAGCAUCUCUCUUAUAUGAGCAAAGUUAAUGCCUUCUCAUGUAUCCAAGGGCCAUUUUUGCAACCUUUUGGGGAAACUGUUUUUCUUGCCCUUUGCUCAUUUUUCUCCAUGAUUUUUGCGCUUUUGUUUCUUGACUUUUAAAAAGUUCCUUGUAUAUGAAAGCCAUUCACCUUUUAUCAGUGAAAGCACGGGCUCAUCAAGAAGCUCUGGUUUUCUCCUGCCCGGACCCUCCCACGGAGCCUGUGGCCAGGAGGAAGCCAGCAGGAAGCAUGUUGGCACAGCCUCGGUGGAAGCGAAAGACCACACGCUGGAAUCCCAAAGCUUCAACUAUUCAUCAGCUGCCCAGUGCGCCAGUGGCGGUUCGGAGUGGCUGUUAGCCUGGCAUUGACGCUAAACCUGGAGCAACAAGGACCGAAAUUCAGCCCAAACGACUGUUGGCACCUCCACCUCUGAGGUCUCGUGGAAAUUGGAUGAUCAAUUUUGAAGUGGCUUUAAUGAAAUAUUAGUUCCUUCUCCUUUGAAAUCGAUUUCACCAAAGCCAAAGCUUUAGAUCAGGUGAAAUCGCUCUUGGAAUAUGCCAGAGACAGGAUCCACCAACAGGCAGGUCUUCUCCGCCACUGACUGCCGGGAAGUGUCAAAGAACUGGGAGCCAGAGAUGGUUCUAUGGUCUCGGGAGGGAGCAGGGCCCAUGCUUUCCUCACCAGUCCCUGACUCAGGGGGUGGCAGUGAGUGUCAGGGAGUGACUGGCAGCGUCCCGACAGAGUGAAAGAAUGAGCGAAUGAAUACGCACGAAGCCAGCCUGUUAGGCUCCAUCACGGAAAUGCUUGCUUUGCCUCCAGGGAGUCCGCUGAAG